rnacentral:lncRNA from 1 species
GAUCAUAGAACUUGAAUGGAUUUCAUCUCAUAAACAUUGAGAAAGUUAUGGUCCUUGGAAGUUGAUCUCCUAACCAGGGUUUAGAAAAAAUGACCUAUAAUCUUCACCAUAAAAAAUGAAUUUCCAAGCAACACUAGCUCUUGACUUCGACAUGAAAGUUGUUUGUAAUGUCACAAGGAGUGACUUUACUCUUAAAAUCAUUUUCAUAUGACAAAAAUUGUAAGAGAUAGGGUCUAGGGAACCCCAAUUUUGACCAUUUG